GCCGGGUAUGGUGGCGCAUGCCUGUAAUCCCAGCUACUCAGGAGGCUGAGGCAGGAGAAUCAUUUGAACCCGGGAGGCAGAGGUUGCAGUGAGCCGAGGUUGUGCCACUGCACUCCAGCCUGGGCGACAGAGUGGAACCCUGCCUCAA
rnacentral:sRNA from 1 species